rnacentral:rRNA from 1 species
UACGUAGGGAGCAAGCGUUGUCCGGAAUCAUUGGGCGUAAAGCGCGCGUAGGUGGCCUCAUAAGUCCGCUGUGAAAGUCAAAGGCUCAACCUUUGAAAGCCGGUGGAUACUGUGAGGCUAGAGUACGGAAGAGGCGAGUGGAAUUCCUGGUGUAGCGGUGGAAUGCGCAGAUAUCAGGAGGAACACCGGUGGCGAAGGCGGGUCUCUGGGCCGAUACUGACGCUGAGGAGCGAAAGCGUGGGGAGCAAACAGG